ensembl:misc_RNA Metazoa_SRP Metazoan signal recognition particle RNA
GCCAGGCAGGCACAAAGGUCCCAGCCUGUAGUCCCAGCUACUCGGAGGCUGAGGUGGGAGGAUCGCUUGAGCCCAGGAGUUCUGGGCUGUAUGUGCUAUGCUGAUCAGGUGUCCACACUAAGUUCGGCAUCAGUAUGGUAACCAUCUGAGAGCGGGGGACCACCAGGUUGCCUAAGGAGUGGUGAACUGGCCCAGGUCAGAAACGGAGCAGGUCAAAACUCCCGUGCUGAUCAGUAGUGGGAUUGUGCCUGUGAAGAGCCACUGUACUCCAGCCUGGUCAACAUAGCGAGACCCCAUCUCUA